UUGAUGGUUGUCUAGACAAGUAGCUUUUGCAUGGCUGGUACCAAGAAUAUGUUAAAAAAAGAACUAAAUUAAAUAUUAUUUAAAAAACUAUAUAUUGAAAAAAUGGUAAAAGUUUCAUUAGCUGAAUUGAACAAGUUGAAAAUUCUGAUAAAAUUCAUGUGAGAACUUGUUUAAAUUUGGGCAGGCAUUUAAAAUGACUGAACUGAUGGACUGGAUCACAUGGACAAUUCAUCUCAUGCCCAUUGUUUACAUGAGUGUGGACACUAAAGAUAAGAUGAAAGUAAGAACUACACAAACCAAUGUUGGGUAUCUUAUUGUUUUAUUUUUAUUUUAUUUUGUUACUACAGAUGUAUAUUUUUAUUUUAUUUUGUUACUACAGAUGUCUAGAUUUAUUUUGAUUAUAAUAUGUAUAUGUAGUUCUGAUUGAUUUAUUUGCAUUUCCCAUAGCUAUGAAUAAUUUUAUUGUCUUUUCCAUUCUUUCAACCCCAGUAUGAGGGUUCUUUUGAUCUAGGGUUUGUACAUUAAAAACAGAAAGAUCUGUCAACUUUGUGUGAUUUCCUGAACAUGAUCAUUUAGGGAUAUGAGACUCUCCUAACCACUGCAACACAAAUGCAAAUGUGAUGAAAACUCCAGAAAGUUUUAGUGGGGUCAGCUUAUGCCUUUGUAAGUUGCUAACUGACCCUCAGUUCAAUAUAGGCUAGGCUAUGAUGGUUAUAUCUUUUAUGAAAAGAAUUUAAACUGUUUUUGUGCAAUACAUACACUUCAUUGAUGUUAGCAACUUUACACUCAUGAAAUGAAAUUCCUUUAAAAGGCUGAACUCUCUGGUUUGUUACAAGUCAAUUAGGCUAGUUGGCCUCUUCAAGUUGAUUUAUUGUCAAAGUUGUUUAACUGAAAGGGUUGGGCCAAAUAUUUAAUUCUUCAAUUAGAAUUAAAAAUUUUAGCUGAAAACAAUAAAUUAGUUGGAGAGACAGUUGGGAAGAAAAUAAAUGGAGUGGAUAGAAAUCAAUAAACAGAAAGCAGUUGUGGUGAUGGAUGAGUAUUUAUUACAUUACAAAGAACUUACACUGAUGUUUACAGUGGCCUAUGCAAGGCCAACACAGAAGAAAGCAACCUUCGGAAUUGUUUUGAAAGUAAAUGUUACUGUCAAGGUUAAAGCUGUGAAGCAAACUUUCUUUUUAUUGUAAGUUUUUAAACAAUAAAAACUUUCCACACAACACAGUAUGACAGUACGUGUAUACUAUGUGACAGAAUUAUAUUUGUAUACAGUAAUGUAAAAGUAAGUUAUUGACUUUACCAGAUUGUUAUUUAACUUUUAAGUGAACUGUAGCACAGAUUUGAUUCUCUUAGAUUUCAUUUCUUUCUUACUUAACAGGGUACUGCUGGUUAUAUAAAGUGAGAUGGUUUUUGUGUGGUAAUGUUAACACACAAUAUAGAAAUUAACAACUAAUAUUUGACAAUAAUACAUUUUUGGCUAAAGUCAAAAGAUGAAAGUACAUAAGGUGUUGAAAACUGUUAGUUGUCAUAAACUACUAAGUUUAAUUUUAUUUCAUGGAAUUAAAUAGAAACUAGUACAAGCUAGGGGUGCUCGGGGAAAAUUUUCCCCUUACAGUCUGAUUUAACUAGAAAUUAUAUAGAUAAUUAGGUUUGAAAAGUGUAAUGUUUUGCAAAAGUGCUUAUUUUGUAUAUGUAUAUUGCAAUUAUUUUCCAAUGUAGAAGUACACUAAUAAUAUGGGAUCUUACACUUUACUGUAACAUAACUGAAAAACUGUUUUGGAAUUAUAAAUACUAAACUGUAACACAUUGAUUUUUACUUUAUUAACAAAAGAAGGUUAGUGUUUGCUUUUUUCUACCUUAAAGGCCAUGAAUGAAGUAGUAUACUGUACUAGAAUUCAGGCAUAUGUUUAUGCCUUAAAACGUUUUUAUUGAGGUUAAAAAUGUAGCUUUUAG